CGUACACUCCUGCGGGAGGCAGCAGUGGGGAAUAUUGCACAAUGGGCGCAAGCCUGAUGCAGCCAUGCCGCGUGUAUGAAGAAGGCCUUCGGGUUGUAAAGUACUUUCAGCGGGGAGGAAGGCGAUAAGGUUAAUAACCUUGUCGAUUGACGUUACCCGCAGAAGAAGCACCGGCUAACUCCGUGCCAGCAGCCGCGGUAAUACGGAGGGUGCAAGCGUUAAUCGGAAUUACUGGGCGUAAAGCGCACGCAGGCGGUCUGUCAAGUCGGAUGUGAAAUCCCCGGGCUCAACCUGGGAACUGCAUUCGAAACUGGCAGGCUAGAGUCUUGUAGAGGGGGGUAGAAUUCCAGGUGUAGCGGUGAAAUGCGUAGAGAUCUGGAGGAAUACCGGUGGCGAAGGCGGCCCCCUGGACAAAGACUGACGCUCAGGUGCGAAAGCGUGGGGAGCAAACAGGAUUAGAAACCCUUGUAGUCCCAUG
rnacentral:rRNA from 1 species